rnacentral:tRNA from 1 species
GACGUCGUAGUGUAAUGGCAGCACACCUGCCGAGUAUGGGACUACCACCAAUGAAAGCAGGAAGAGCGGGUUCGAUUCCCGACGACGUCU